rnacentral:rRNA from 1 species
UACGAAGGGGGCUAGCGUUGCUCGGAAUCACUGGGCGUAAAGGGUGCGUAGGCGGGUCUUUUAAGUCAGGGGUGAAGUCCUGGAGCUCAACUCCAGAACUGCCUUUGAUACUGAGGAUCUUGAGUUCGGGAGAGGUGAGUGGAACUGCGAGUGUAGAGGUGAAAUUCGUAGAUAUUCGCAAGAACACCAGUGGCGAAGGCGGCUCACUGGCCCGAUACGUGACGCUGAGGCACGAA